rnacentral:rRNA from 1 species
ACGAACGCUGGCGGCGUGCUUAACACCUGCAAGUCGAACGGAAAGGCCCUGCUUUUGUGGGGUGCUCGAGUGGCGAACGGGUGAGUAACACGUGAGUAACCUGCCCUUGACUUUGGGAUAACUUCAGGAAACUGGGGCUAAUACCGGAUAGGAGCUCCUGCUGCAUGGUGGGGGUUGGAAAGUUUCGGCGGUUGGGGAUGGACUCGCGGCUUAUCAGCUUGUUGGUGGGGUAGUGGCUUACCAAGGCUUUGACGGGUAGCCGGCCUGGGAGGGUGACCGGCCACAUUGGGACUGAGAGACGGCCCAGACUCCUACGGGAGGCAGCAGUGGGGAAUAUUGCACAAUGGGCGGAAGCCUGAUGCAGCAACGCCGCGUGCGGGAUGACGGCCUUCGGGUUGUAAACCGCUUUCGCCUGUGACGAAGCGUGAGUGACGGUAAUGGGUAAAGAAGCACCGGCUAACUACGUG